CCCUCGGAACUGGGAAAUUCCGACUUCCCAGUUGGAAAUCUCACCUGGGACGCCCGCCGAAGUCGGAUUCCCCACUGGGAAACUGGGAGCAACUCCAACUACUUUCAGUUACGACUAGUUAGACGGACUAUGCGUUUCAAAAUGGACGCUCGUCGCAUCGACUGUAUUGUUUGCGGGUCGCGUGGCCUCCGGCUCGGCCGUUCAGCCGCUUCGCUCGUUUGCUUGUGAUGAUCUCGGCGGUGAGCGUCGGCGUGGACAGCCCCGGCUUCUACAACUAAUGGCUUGUGGCUUCCAACCUGGCAGUGAUGAAUAGCGCCGUGGGUCCUCGCUGUGGUUUCAGGAUUAUCUUGAGUGUAUUUGGAGGGUUGCCAGAAUAAAGUCCAUGUAGCUCUCCA